UACGUAGGGUGCGAGCGUUAAUCGGAAUUACUGGGCGUAAAGCGUGCGCAGGCGGUUGUGCAAGACCGAUGUGAAAUCCCCGGGCUCAACCUGGGAACUGCAUUUGUGACUGCACGGCUGGAGUGCGGCAGAGGGGGAUGGAAUUCCGCGUGUAGCAGUGAAAUGCGUAGAUAUGCGGAGGAACACCGAUGGCGAAGGCAAUCCCCUGGGCCUGCACUGACGCUCAUGCACGAAAGCGUGGGGAGCAAACAGG
rnacentral:rRNA from 1 species